rnacentral:rRNA from 1 species
ACCCCGGGAUUCUGGGGCUAAUACCCGAUAGGUGAAGAGGCCUGGAAUGGUUCUUCACCGAAAAGACGUUGAAACCAUGCUUUUCAACGUUGCCUAAGGAUGGGGCCGCGUCCGAUCAGGUUGUUGGUGGGGUAACGGCUCACCAAGCCUAUAACCGGUACGGGCCGUGAGAGCGGGAGCCCGGAGAUGGGCACUGAGACAAGGGCCCAGGCCCUACGGGGCGCAGCAGUCGCGAAAACUCCGCAAUGCGCGAAAGCGUGACGGGGCUACCCCGAGUGUCGUCCGCUGAGGAUGACUUUUCCCCGGUGUAAGGAGCCGGGGGAAUAAGGAGAGGGCAAGUCUGGUGUCAGCCGCCGCGGUAAUACCAGCUCUCCGAGUGGUAGGGACGAUUAUUGGGCUUAAAGCGUCCGUAGCCGGCCCGGCAAGUCUCCCGUUAAGUCCAGCGACCUAAUCGUUGGGCUGCAGGAGAUACUGUUGGGCUAGGGGGCGGGAGAGGCCGACGGUAUUCCCGGGGUAGGGGUGAAAUCCUAUAAUCCCGGGAGGACCACCAGUGGCGAAGGCUGUCGGCUAGAACGCGCUCGACGGUGAGGGACGAAAGCUGGGGGAGCGAACCGGAUUAGAUACCCGGGUAGUCCCAGCUGUAAACGAUGCGGGCUAGGUGUUGGGGUGGCUACGAGCCACUUCAGUGCCGCAGCGAAAA